UCCCCAGCUCAACCACUUCUCCCUUUUUGGGUUUCAUACAUAUCUCCUACAUUACCAAAUUUUAAGGAGAUCAAAUUAAGAUGAGUGAUCCCAAGUAUGCAUAUCCUUAUCCUGCACAAGGGUACUACCAAGGACCUCCUGUGGUGCCACCACCUCAAUACUACGCGCCUCGGCCACCAAGCAGAAGCUCCGGUUUCAUAGAAGGAUGCCUUGCUGCUCUCUGCUUCUGCUGCCUCAUUGACGAGUGUUGCUGCGAUCCAUCAAUCAUAUGUAUUUGCUAACUAGAGCUAAGCUGGAAUACUCUUAAGAAAUAAAUUACAAGGAAUUUGCUUCUGCUUUGUUUCUAGCAAUAGAAAAUUCGAAUCGACGAACAGCAUUGUCAAAUAUCAUUUUAGGUUAUUUGGACUUUUUAGAAAUUGAAUUUCAUAAUUUUGUUAUAUUAUUUGCCUAGUAAUCAUUAAGUAAUCUCAAAUUCACUUCAUAUUUGGUUGUUGAAAAUUAUUAAAUUUUUAGGACCAUUACUCGACUACAAGGCAAAUGAUGUUCUAAUAAAAAAAUUAAAUAAUCUAGAUCAAUUUCAACAGUGUGAAUCGCCGGUUCGAAUAAUCUAUCGCUAAAAACAAUAUGAAAGUAAACGACUGAAUUUAUUUCUAAAGUAUUCUAGCCUUAUCCCUCCCACUUAUAUCAUUUUAUUGUUUUUUCUCUUGUGGAAUAUGGAGUUUUACCUCUUUGAGUGUGCAUGUGUGGUCCUUGAGCAAUGUGUGAUUUGAUAAAUUGUAUUGGCACUAUCACCAGAUAUUGAUGAUGGGUUCUUGAUGAUUAA